UACUUUUUAUAAUAUGUGAAUUUUUUUGUUUCAACAAAAAGGUUCCAUAUUAAUUUUUACUUUUUAUCUGGGGGUAUUAUCAUGAAACAAGGUACGGUCAAAUGGUUCAAUGCUGAAAAAGGAUUCGGCUUCAUCGAAGUCGACGGCGAAGACGACGUAUUCGUCCACUUCUCCGCAAUCCAGGGCGAAGGCUUCAAGACGCUUGACGAGGGCCAGCAGGUCGAGUUCGAAGUUGUCGAAGGCAACCGCGGACCACAGGCUGCAAACGUCGUCAAACUGUAAUAGCCGACAAUCUGAAGGAGCAUCCGGUCCGUCCGGAUGCUCCUUUUU
rnacentral:sRNA from 1 species